GAAAGGUGAAGGACCCGGUCUUCGGACUGGGAGCGUACACAGGUGCUGCAUGGCUGUCGUCAGCUCGUGUCGUGAGAUAUUGGGUUAAGUCCCGUAACGAGCGCAACCCUUGUUCUUAGUUACCAGCACGUUAUGGUGGGCACUCUAAGGAGACUGCCGGUGACAAACCGGAGGAAGGUGGGGAUGACGUCAAGUCAUCAUGGCCCUUACGGCCUGGGCUACACACGUGCUACAAUGGUCGGUACAAAGGGUUGCCAAGCCGCGAGGUGGAGCUAAUCCCAUAAAACCGAUCGUAGUCCGGAUCGCAGUCUGCAACUCGACUGCGUGAAGUCGGAAUCGCUAGUAAUCGUGAAUCAGAAUGUCACGGUGAAUACGUUCCCGGGCCUU
rnacentral:rRNA from 1 species